rnacentral:tmRNA from 1 species
GGGGGUGUAAAUGGUUUCGACAGUUUUUUAGAAGUAUUUAUAGCGAGUAGUGGAUGGUUGCUUUGGCCACUUAAAAUCAAGCAAAUUAAAUAUAAAGGCUAACGAUAGAGAAUUAGCUUACGCUGCUGCUUAAGUAACAGCGUCGUCUUACCCAAGAGCCUACUGCUUGGAAUAAGGCGUCGAUUAAAGUAGGAAACGAAGUUGCUUAUUCCACUUAAGCAAUGGGUAAUUUAAAUGGAUAUGAAUAAAAUGCUUUGUUCAUUUGCUAUUUUAUUUAGAAUUUUAAAAAUGAACUGCACUCGGAGAAGUAAAUAUGGAAAAAUAAUUGGACGCGAGUUCAACUCUCGCCACCUCCACCA